rnacentral:rRNA from 1 species
UGGGGAAUAUUGCACAAUGGAGGGAACUCUGAUGCAGCGACGCCGCGUGAACGAAGAAGGCUUUCGAGUCGUAAAGUUCUUUUAUAUGGGAAGAUAAUGACGGUACCAUAAGAAAAAGCCCCGGCUAACUACGUGCCAGCAGCCGCGGUAAUACGUAGGGGGCUAGCGUUGCCCGGAAUCACUGGGCGUAAAGGGUUCGCAGGCGGAAAUGCAAGUCAGGUGUAAAAGGCAGUAGCUUAACUACUGUAAGCAUUUGAAACUGAAUAUCUUGAGAAGAGUAGAGGGAAGUGGAAUUUUUAGUGUAGCGGUGAAAUGCGUAGAUAUUGAAAAGAAUACCGGUGGCGAAGGCGACUUACUGGGCUCAUUCUGACGCUGAGGAACGAAAGCGUGGGUAGCAAACAGG